UACGGAGGAUGCAAGCGUUAUCCGGAAUGAUUGGGCGUAAAGCGUCCGCAGGCGGCAGUUCAAGUCUGCUGUCAAAGACCGGGGCUUAACUUCGGAAAGGCAGUGGAAACUGAACAGCUAGAGUAUGGUAGGGGCAGAGGGAAUUCCUGGUGUAGCGGUGAAAUGCGUAGAGAUCAGGAAGAACAUCGGUGGCGAAAGCGCUCUGCUGGACCUUAACUGACACUGAGGGACGAAAGCUAGGGGAGCGAAUGGG
rnacentral:rRNA from 1 species